AAACCGGACAGGAACACUGGAGAAAUCGUGAUCCUCUGCUCUGAAAUCCGGUGUGACUGAUCCUCUUUUCCAGUCAUUUGAAAAAAAAAAAAAUGCUAUUUCUAAUUAAUAAUUAAAAUUCUGUACCUUUUUUAAUGAACCAAGAGUUUCAUUAUGCAGCAGAACUAAGGGAGGGUUCAGAGUCGCCUGAUCCAGUCUGAAGGCUCGGCCUCCAGUUCAACUUUUAGAACCCGGAGUACUUCAGACUGAAGACCUCUGUUAGAAGAACAUGGAUAAUAUAAGAGGAUAUUUUUGUUUCUUGGUUGUUGUUUUUGUACUAGCUCUGCCCUCUCCUGUUGAUGGCGACCCUCCAGGGGGACCUGCUGAAACCCUGCUUUAAAACUGUAGUCCAAAGAGCAGGUGGUGACGUGUCUUCAACAUGACUUAUGUAAAAUAACAAACAGACCAACACACAGUCGCCUGUAAUAAAUCUCAGAGGUUAUCUUGAUGUAAAACGAGCCCGUCUGUGUGAAUGUUUGGACAGUGUGGGUCUGAAUAUUAUUUAUCUGUCGCCUGCAUACGUUCACAUCUCUGAGAGAGAGGCAGAUGGUAAUCCAGAGGCCUGCAGGAAGAAUAAAUCAUAGCGACACCUUUAAAUGGGCGAGAGCUGUUAUCAAGAUAAAAACAACUGUAGUGGCUGGUUUAAGUCCUGGGGCGGCGGGGUGACGGGCGUGAUGAAUCUCUGAGACCUGACAGGCCGUUUCAUUUCCAACCGUUCCCUUCUGGAUGCAGACGGAGGGACGAUCAGUCUGAAAACAAACCAGCAGCUCAUCAUGUUUUCCGUUAAAGAAACACCAGGACAGUUAUUUCUGGAUCCGUUAAGGUUAGAGUCCAUCUGGGGAGAUCUGAAGAAACUCAAUAGAAAGGAUUAGUGUUCCUGCUGUUUUUAAUGAAACGUCUGACCAAUAUUAUGGCUGCUGUGAGGUUAUUAUGCUAACAGACUCUGUGAAAUGUUAGGAUUUUAUUGCCUGUUGCUUAGCAGUAAGUAGCAGGUAUCUGUGUCUGUAGCUUGAAAACCUAGCUUGAUAGUGUUUACUCAUGAAUGAUCACUUUACCUUCUCAUCCAUAUAAGAGAGCUUCUGGCUCCAAUUAAGCAAUGUGGCAACAGCCAAAAUGCUAAUGCUUCAAAAUGUAGUGAAUAUGUGAUGUCACCUUGUCUGCGUCCAUCUUUUAUCCCAUCUAGGCUAAGAGCACACCUAUCCUACUGAGCUAACUGCCCAGCACACCAUGCUAACUUGCCCACAGGUUCAUAACACUGGAGGGCUUAUAUUUUUGAAAACAGUCUCUAAUGACACUACUCCAUGAGCCGUG